GCCGAAAUAGCUCAGAUGGGGGAGCAUUAGACUGAAGAUCUAAAGGCCCCUUGUUCAAUCCCAGGUUUUGGCA
rfam:Octopus bimaculoides Scaffold7391_contig_87, whole genome shotgun sequence.